CCUACGGGAGGCAGCAGUGAGGAAUAUUGGUCAAUGGUCGGGAGACUGAACCAGCCAAGCCGCGUGAGGGAGGAAGGUACAGAGUAUCGUAAACCUCUUUUGUCAGGGAACAAAGGCGGGGACGUGUCCCCGGAUGAGUGUACCUGAAGAAAAAGCAUCGGCUAACUCUGUGCCAGCAGCCGCGGUAAUACGGAGGAUGCGAGCGUUAUCCGGAUUUAUUGGGUUUAAAGGGUGCGCAGGCGGUCUGUUAAGUCAGCGGUCAAAGCCCGGGGCUCAACCCCGGCCCGCCGUUGAAACUGGCAGUCGCGAGUUGGAGAGAAGUAGGCGGAAUGCGCGGUGUAGCGGUGAAAUGCAUAGAUAUCGCGCAGAACUCCGAUUGCGAAGGCAGCAUGCCGGCUCCACACUGACGCUGAGGCACGAAAGCGUGGGUAUCGAACAGGAUUAGAUACCCUAGUAGUC
rnacentral:rRNA from 1 species